UCCCUUUCAGACUUUACACUC
rnacentral:misc_RNA from 1 species